AUACGUAGGUGGCAAGCGUUGUCCGGAUUUACUGGGUGUAAAGGGCGUGUAGGCGGAGAUGCAAGUCAGGAGUGAAAUCUAGGGGCUCAACCCCUAAACUGCUUUUGAAACUGUAUCCCUUGAGUAUCGGAGAGGCAGGCGGAAUUCCUAGUGGAUCGGUGUAAUGCGUAGAUAUUAGAAGGAACACCAGUGGCGAAGGCGACUUUCUGGACUGUGACUGACGCUGAGGCACGAAAGCGUGGGUAGCGAACAGGAUUAGAUACCCUGGUAGUCCACGCUGUAAACGAUGAAUACUUGGUGUCUGCGGGCGACCGUAGGUGCCGGCGCUAACGCAAUAAGUAUUCCGCCUGGGGAGUACGGCCGCAAGGCUAAAACUCAAAGGAAUUGACGGGG
rnacentral:rRNA from 1 species